AGGCUGACCUCUUCACCUGUGGAAAU
rnacentral:miRNA from 1 species